AGAGUUUGAUCAUGGCUCAGGACGAACGCUGGCGGCGUGCCUAACACAUGCAAGUCGAACGAGGUCCAUGGAGUGGCAACACUCCGGAAGACCUAGUGGCGAACGGGUGAGUAACACGUGAGGAACUUGCCCCGGAGACUGGGAUAAGCCCCCGAAAGGGGGUCUAAUACCGGAUGUCCUCACCGAGUCGCAUGGCUUGGUGAGGAAAUGGAUUCCGCUCCGGGAGAGCCUCGCGGCCUAUCAGCUAGUUGGUGGGGUAACGGCCCACCAAGGCGUCGACGGGUAGCUGGUCUGAGAGGACGAUCAGCCACACUGGGACUGAGACACGGCCCAGACUCCUACGGGAGGCAGCAGUGGGGAAUCUUGCGCAAUGGGCGAAAGCCUGACGCAGCAACGCCGCGUGCGGGAUGAAGGCCCUCGGGUUGUAAACCGCUUUCAGUGGGGACGAACCAAGACGGUACCCACAGAAGAAGGUCCGGCCAACUACGUGCCAGCAGCCGCGGUAACACGUAGGGACCAAGCGUUGUCCGGAUUCAUUGGGCGUAAAGAGCUCGUAGGCGGUUCGGUAAGUCGGGUGUGAAACCUCCAGGCUCAACCUGGAGACGCCACCCGAUACUGCCGUGACUAGAGUCCAGUAGGGGAGCGUGGAAUUCCUGGUGUAGCGGUGAAAUGCGCAGAUAUCAGGAGGAACACCAGCGGCGAAGGCGGCGCUCUGGGCUGGAACUGACGCUGAGGAGCGAAAGCGUGGGGAGCGAACAGGAUUAGAUACCCUGGUAGUCCACGCCGUAAACGUUGGGUACUAGGUGUGGGGUCUUAUCAACGGAUUCCGUGCCGAAGCUAACGCAUUAAGUACCCCGCCUGGGGAGUACGGCCGCAAGGCUAAACUCAAAGGAAUUGACGGGGGCCCGCACAAGCAGCGGAGCAUGUUGCUUAAUUUCGAGGCAACGCGAGACCUUACCUGGGUUUGACAUGUAGAAAAGCCACAGAGAUGUGUGUCCCUUUGGGCCUAUCACAAGGUGGGUGCAUGGGCUGUCGUCAGCCUCCGGUGUUCG
rnacentral:rRNA from 1 species